ACGAGCUGUUAACAUGUUAGAGUGGUCUGCUUAGCUGGCAAAGACGGUCACGGAGCUCCUCAGCCCAAUGCUUUACAACAAACUUGAUUAUUAUGGGUUACGCAUUUCGAAUACAAGAAUUCACUAUCAAUUUGCCACUUUUUUUAGCUCUGAUCGUUGCUGGAUCGAGGUUCGAGACCACCAAGGGACAGAAUGUUACAAUAUCCUUCGACAUCGAUGAAGUGGAGAAAGCAGACGAAGUGAGGAUUACUUUUAGACAAGACAACAAGGAAAAGCCCGUUGUUAACGCUCGGCGACCUUGGAUCUAUGAUGAUAAACCUCCAGCUCGAUUUUCACUGCUGGUCGAGAAAGGACGCGUGUCUGUAACCAUUCAACAUGUCAGCAUCUCCAGCUCAGGACUCUAUACAGCAUGAGCCUUCUUUGGAAAGAAGAUGUAUCAACCAUCAGUAGAAAGUCUGUAAUUUCAUAUAUAUUUCAUAUAUAUUCUUUGGAAAGAAGAUGUAUGAGGUGAAAGCUACACUUGUUGUCAAAGAAGCAUCAUUUUCCUCCACUAAAGCUCCACCACACACCUCCACCCCAAAACCUCCCAACUCCUCUGACGUCCUCUGGCUAUAUGUAUUAAUUCCUCUAGUCAUUUUCAUCUCAGGGGUCCUUUACUUCUGUAAAUGCAUGAGGGCAAGUAUUACUUACAUUUAUUCUGUAUAUUAUAAAUCUUAUAAUAUGAUCAUUGCUGUGAUUCUAAUCAUCUAAGUCCAUAUUUGACAAAACAUUUCAGCUAAAAGUUUCUUCUAACAUGGAAGUUUAGGAGCAGCUCUUAAAAAUGAUCGGCGUGUCACUCCUAAUUUGAUCUAAAAGUAUCUGCUAAACCAGGACAGUUUUAAGUGUCCUCAUGAGCACUUGUAGAUCAGUAAGAGUGACUCAAAUACAAUCCUAAGCAUGGCUGCUGUUGCUUAUGUGUCGAAUAAAUAUUGGAAUAUUAAAGUGACACUGAUCUUUUAAAGGAUUAGUUCACUUUCAAAUGAAAAUUAGCCCAAGCUUUACUCACCCUCAUGCCAUCCUAGGUGUCUAUGACUUCUUUCUGAUGAACACAAUCUGAGAAAUAUUAAUAAAUAUUCAGACGCAUCUGAGCUUUAUAAUGGCAGUGAACGGGAUCAAACGAGAGUGAGCUGAAGAAAGGUCUCCAUCCUUCAUGAACAUAUUCCACACGGCUCUGGGGGUUAUUAAAGUUCUUUUAAAGCGAUGCGAUGCAUUUGUGUAAAAAAAAAAAUCCAUAUUUAACAAGUUAUGAAGUAAAAUAUCUAGCUUCCGCCAGACCGCCUUCCGUAUUUAAAUUAUAGAGGAAGAAAACGGCGAUGUGUCAGUUUCGUAAGUUGAAUAGGGAAGGCGUAAGCUUUUUGAAGAAUAUUUUGGUUACUUUAGUGUUGUUCGCAGGGCAAUUUUCCUCACUUAUUUCAAUACAAAAAAAUAUUUUGUCAGCCACAUAUGGUAAAAAUUAGCCAUAAUUUCUUUUUUAAAUCUAUCUGAAAUACUAUCUAUACUACACUACCAUUCAAAAAUUUGGGAUCGGUAAGAUUUUUAAUGUUUUUAAGAGAAGUUUCAUCUGCUCAC